CUUCCUACGGGACGCAGCAGUGGGGGAUAUUGCACAAUGGGGGAAACCCUGAUGCAGCGACGCCGCGUGGGUGAAGAAGCGCCUCGGCGCGUAAAGCCCUGUCAGCAGGGAAGAAAAAGGACGGUACCCAAAGAAGAAGCACCGGCUAAAUACGUGCCAGCAGCCGCGGUAAUACGUAUGGUGCAAGCGUUAUCCGGAAUGACUGGGUGUAAAGGGAGCGUAGACGGUUGUACAAGUCUGAUGUGAAAGCCCACGGCUCAACUGUGGGAGUGCAUUGGAAACUGUAGAACUAGAGUAUCGGAGAG
rnacentral:rRNA from 1 species